UAGGGAGGUCAGGGCCAGGAGCCCCCCCCCCCUGAGCCCAGGGUAACGCUUAAGUUGGGGGGCA
rfam:Rattus norvegicus chromosome 17, whole genome shotgun sequence.